rnacentral:misc_RNA from 1 species
CGCCACCCCUUAACUUUAUGCUCAAAUCUAGAAAGCACAGUUACUUCCAGCGCCUCCUGCCUGAAUCCUAACGGCCGUCCUCUGCUACAAAUCGAAAGCUCAAAGCUUCAAUAUUGAACCGGCAACAAUCCAGUUCCCAUCUUAUUAACACUACUGAGAUUUCACAGCGACCUCUUUUGCGCUUUCUACAUUCUUUCCAAGUGCAGAAUGGCUUCAUUGGCUCCUUCGCGUCUCCGUCUGGUAUCUUCAUCUUCGACUCGUCUUCAUCACCAACCUGGCUUUCCUCCUCACCGACCAGCAAGCCUCUCAUUCUCAUCCUUUUCCACUUCUAUUCCAGGGUUUGGGACUGGCGUUGCCCUUGAGAGGCAGAAGCAACGCUCUUCGUUUGUGGAAACGGCGGCAGUUAGGCAUUUGGUUGGAUCCCUCACCAGAGCUGAGGGACUUCGCUUUGCUGUGGUUGUAGCACGGUUUAAUGAGAUUGUGACAAAGCAGCUUUUGGAAGGAGCUUUGGAAACUUUCAAGAGAUAUUCAGUUAAAGAAGAGGAUAUUGAUGUGGUGUGGGUUCCUGGCAGUUUUGAAAUAGGCCUUGUUGCUGAAAGGCUUGGGAAGUCACGAAAUUAUCAUGCAAUUCUAUGUAUUGGAGCUGUGGUAUGAUUUCUCCUUAUAUUCAUAAUGAUUUUAACAUUUGGUAAAUCUAGAUGUGGCAAUAAGGUUAGCUCCUUGUCAAAUACAAGCAUUAUGGAAACCCUUAAUUCAUGUAGCUUUUAUGGUUAGUAAAUAAGGGGUGAUACUACCCACUAUGAUGCGGUUGCCAAUUCAGCAGCAUCUGGAGUACUUUCAGCUGGUAUAAAUUCAGGAGUUCCAUGCAUAUUUGGCGUUCUAACUUGUGAUGACAUGGAGCAGGCUUUAAAUCGAGCUGGUGGCAAGUCUGGGAAUAAGGGUGCCGAGGGUGCUCUAACAGCUGUAAGUUGAUGUGAAGUAAUGUUUAAUGAUUUUAGCUAAGUAAUUACUUUAUUUAAUGUUAAUUUCUCUACAUUUUGUAAUUUGGUGCUUCUUUUAACUUAGUUUUUCUAUAAAUUGUCUUGAGGGGCAAGGUUGGGAGAGAAGUCUCACUGUUCUUGUGCAUUUGUUGCGAUGAAAUUCUGCUAGCUGUGAUACAAAAAAAAACAUUACCUGGUCAAUAAGUCAAGGCCAUUGUCCUUUAGGUUCACGCAUCAAUGAUUAUACUUGCACACGUGUAGUAGUUUCCAAUUUGUCACAUGUUUAGGAAUUGGCUUGCUUGCUAUUGUGAAACUAGUGAAUGCAAUAUCUAAUGCUAACGUACAUGCAUACAUGCAAGUGAAUAUUGCAGUUCGCUUUGUUGGAAUCAUUCGGUACUUAUUGACCCAAUUUAGUAUCCAUAAGAUAUUAUAUCUGGACUUAAACACUGUCUUGAACAUCCACUCUAUGAUAUGUAUCUAUUUACGUUUGUGGUUUUUAUUUCCCUGGAGUUAUGUUUUAAUUUGCCAUUAACAUAUUUACCUAAACUGUCAAGUGAUUGAAAGAAAAUAAAAUAAAAUUCCAUUUUCAAUCUUUUUCACUGGAUGAUUUGCUUCUUGCUUGGUUGAUUUGGCUUAUAUUGCAGAUUGAGAUGGCAUCCCUGUUUGAGCACCAUUUGAACUAGUAAUACUGUUGCUAUUCCUUUUUUUCCUGAGACUGUUCAUGUAGACAUCCUUUGAACUGUUCAAAUAUUGUUGGAUUGAGAGUUUGAUGUAACAUUGAAAAGGUAUCCUCAAUAUUCCGAGUUGUGUUUUGCUAGUAGUUGGAUCGCUUUGGCUUUUGCUUACACAUUAAAUAAGAAUUAUGUGGCUGUUAGUCAUUUAAUUUAAUUAAAUUUAAAUUCUCACAAGUGUCUAGAAGAAGGGGACAAAAUGGGAAGAUUACCCCUUUCAAGUUUCAUCGUCCAGUAUGCUACACCAAACACUACGUUCAUUGUUUUUGGCAUGGUAAUGGGUAUCGAAGAAAAUAUGAAAUGCAGGACUAAACAUUGUCCAGCAUGUUAUAUUGGUUCUCUUGUUUCGAUUAGAUCAUUUAAAAUUGGAUUCUCAUGUCUAAUUUAAAUCCUUAGUGUGAAUCAGAUGUUAUGUAUAAUGGACAUGGCUUCCCUGUCCAUCUGCAGUUGUGAUUAUGGAUGUUAUGAUUUGUCUGUCAAAUUUGGCUAUUGUUUCUCAAGCUAUUUCUUACUUAGAUGAUGACUAUUGAGGUUUAAUUUUGUUUAUUUCAAGAGGUACUUGGUUGAUGUUAUCGAUCCUGAUAAUCUGAGCAUCUCA